rnacentral:rRNA from 1 species
UACAGAGGUCAAGCGUUGUUCGGAUUUACUGGGCGUAAAGGGUGCGUAGGUGGCGGGGUAAGUCUGGUGUGAAAGCUCCGAGCUCAACUCGGAAAAGCAUUGGAAACUAUCCCGCUUGAGGGUCGGAGGGGAGACUGGAAUUCUCGGUGUAGCAGUGAAAUGCGUAGAUAUCGAGAGGAACACCAGUGGCGAAGGCGAGUCUCUGGACGACUCCUGACACUGAGGCACGAAAGCUAGGGGAGCAAACAGG